rnacentral:rRNA from 1 species
AUCAUGGCUCAGAACAAACGCUGGCGGCGUGCCUAACACAUGCAAGUCGAACGAGAAAUCCCGAGCUUGCUUGGGAGAGUAAAGUGGCGCACGGGUGAGUAACGCGUGGGUAACCUACCUUUGAAUCUGGAAUAACCAGCCGAAAGGCUGACUAAUACCGGAUAUGGUUUUUGGAAUUUAGGUUCUCAAAAUUAAAGGUGACCUCUUCAUGAAAGUUGCCGUUCAUAGAUGGGCCCGCGUACCAUUAGCUUGUUGGUGGGGUAAUGGCCUACCAAGGCGACGAUGGUUAGCUGGUCUGAGAGGAUGAUCAGCCACACUGGAACUGGAACACGGUCCANACUCCUACGGGAGGCAGCAGUGANNAAUUUUGCGCAAUGGGGGAAACCCUGACGCAGCAACGCCGCGUGAGCNAAGAANGCCCUCGGGUCGUAAAGCUCUGUCAAGUGGG